GACGAACGCUGGCGGCGUGCCUAAUACAUGCAAGUAGAACGCUGAAACUUGGUGCUUGCACCGAGCGGAUGAGUUGCGAACGGGUGAGUAACGCGUAGGUAACCUGCCUGGUAGCGGGGGAUAACUAUUGGAAACGAUAGCUAAUACCGCAUAAGAGUAGAUGUUGCAUGACAUUUGCUUAAAAGGUGCAAUUGCACCACUACCAGAUGGACCUGCGUUGUAUUAGCUAGUUGGUGGGGUAACGGCUCACCAAGGCGACGAUACAUAGCCGACCUGAGAGGGUGAUCGGCCACACUGGGACUGAGACACGGCCCUGACUCCUACGGGAGGCAGCAGUAGGGAAUCUUCGGCAAUGGACGGAAGUCUGACCGAGCAACGCCGCGUGAGUGAAGAAGGUUUUCGGAUCGUAAAGCUCUGUUGUAAGAGAAGAACGAGUGUGAGAGUGGAAAGUUCACACUGUGACGGUAUCUUACCAGAAAGGGACGGCUAACUACGUG
rnacentral:rRNA from 1 species